UUAUCGUCUACACGACGUCUUCUCCUCCAUCCUCUACCAAACUCACAAGAGCCCACUUUUUGGGUUUUUGGCAUCGAGGAUACCCGGUUUCUCUUGUAGUGGUGUCGUCCCGUGACAUUGUUCGUGUAUGUUCGAAUCGUGCUGUUGCAGUCUACAGACUCGUCGGGUGCUGGUAGAUCGGUGGGAGGUUUUUCUGCUGCUUUGGAUUCAGUCGUUCGAAGAGUGUCUUCAUCUGGUACGAGCAAAGAUACUUGGGUGACUGACAAGAGGAAUCCGUGAUAGCGCCAAUGAGACUAGAAAAUGCUUCCGCAGUGUCGAGUGUUGCAAUCCAACAAUAAUGAAAGUGGAGUGCAUCCUCAAGUUUUUCAUUGAGGAUGAUGACAGUUUAAGUGAGGGAAAGUGCAUAAUCUAAUUUUGAGAUAGUAGAUUUUGAAUCAGCUUGUGCAGACAGUGAAGUUGUGACACGUGAGUGUCGACACAUUUGGCAAAGACAGAGGGCCAAGAGAAGUGCCAUACAACACACGAACAUAAGUGGACAAACAUGCCAUGUUGAACAUUAAGUAGAAAGACAAGCAACCAUGACCUCGGAAGGUGAGAUUUCAUCGCGAGUUUGGACGAACGGCUAUAGAGUUAGAAGGAUAAUGAUAAGAUAUGCAAGCACAUUGAAUUUCAUGUCAAUCGGAGUUCAGACGGGCGCUCUACGUUGGUGAGUGACCGCUCGCCACAUUUCACAUGCAUGGGUGGCAAAGAGGAAAUGUUCAAAAUGCAUUAUAGAGGGAGGCAUGGUGUCAGCUCUCCGCCAUCCCUGAGCCCUGUGGCCUAAGUGAGCUACCCCAUGGCAUGUGCGUGUAUCAUGGCAUGGGCAAGCAUUACAAGAAAAGAGUCGUGGACGCCUUCCAUCGAGAAUGGGGUCUCAAAGCAGUAUCUGACGACAUGGGUGUGCCGGCAUUGCGCCUCGUCUAAUGGGCCAAAGAUUCGAUGUAGCACUUGACAUGUUGUUUUGAUUAUGAAUGAACUCUUAUUCAAAAGUACCUACGAGUAAAAACGGAUCUUUCCAAUUCAUUCUGACAGAAUUACCGCAUAUACAUUCAAAUAUACUUUCAUAAUGUCA